rnacentral:rRNA from 1 species
UAAAGAGGUCUCAAGCGUUGUUCGGAUUCAUUGGGCGUAAAGGGUGCGUAGGCGGCGCGGUAAGUCGGGUGUGAAAUCUCGGAGCUUAACUUCGAAACUGCAUUCGAUACUGCCGUGCUUGAGGACUGGAGAGGAGACUGGAAUUUACGGUGUAGCGGUGAAAUGCGUAGAUAUCGUAAGGAAGACCAGUGGCGAAGGCGGGUCUCUGGACAGUUCCUGACGCUGAGGCACGAAGGCCAGGGGAGCAAACGGG